CGACAAGCGGAGGAGCAUGUGGUUUAAUUCGAUGAUACGCGAGGAACCGUUACCUGGGCUCGAACGUAAGAUGACUGUAGGUGAAAGCUUACAUCUCUUCGGAGCAUUUUACGAGGUGCUGCAUGGUUGUCGUCAGCUCGUGCCGUGAGGUGUCGGGUUAAGUCCCAUAACGAGCGCAACCCCUACCUUUAGUUGCCAUCAGGUUAAGCUGGGGACUCUAAAGGAACUGCCUACGCAAGUAGUGAGGAAGGCGGGGAUGACGUCAAAUCAGCACGGCCCUUACGUCCAGGGCUACACACGUGCUACAAUGGCCGAUACAGAGGGCAGCUACCUGGUGACAGGAUGCAAAUCUCCAAAGUCGGUCUCAGUUCGGAUCGGAGUCUGCAACCCGACUCCGUGAAGUUGGAUUCGCUAGUAAUCGCGCAUCAGCCAUGGCGCGGUGAAUACGUUCCCGGGCCUU
rnacentral:rRNA from 1 species